AUUUUCAUUUCCGAGAAAGCCUGAUCCCGUCCGAUCUGGCAAGUUAAGCAACGUUGAGUCCAGUUAGUACUUGGAUCGGAGACGGCCUGGGAAUCCUGGAUGUUGUAAGCU
rnacentral:rRNA from 1 species